rnacentral:lncRNA from 1 species
UGAGCAUUUGGGCAAUGAGUUUCGUCGUGGAGAAAAGAGAUCCAUUAAAUAUUUAGUCCCUUUGUCUCCAUCCUACCCUACCCAUAUCCUAUCCUCCAGGUAAUACUUUUAAUAUAAGAUAUUAAUAUGCCUGAAGCGUGAGGAAACAACCGAACACCUGUACUUGGCCUCCCUAAUAGAAUUUAAUUAAAUUUUCUAUAUCUGGUUCUAAGUGCUAGUCCUUUACUUGUAACAAAACCCACGUACUAACAACAUUCUCUCAUUUAAGAACUGCAGAAUCCAGCGUGAAUCAGAGAAAAAUCACGUUCUCCUUUGGCUCUGCUCAAAAUAAUGAAAUAGCAGCAAAACCCACAC